rnacentral:ncRNA from 2 species
GAUUUAUACAGAAGUGGCGAGAGAACAGGCUCCCUGACCCACUGGCAACCUUCGACCGCGCGAAAGGUGCCAAUUCCUGCCCGACCAGCUUGUACGAACCGUACGGCGGCGGGGCAUAUAACUC